rnacentral:lncRNA from 1 species
AAGCAUCAGCUUCUUUAUAAUACCCCUCAAACACUAUUCACUCCAGGCAGCUUGAAAUCUAAUAACUUUCGCCGGAGCUCCCUGAAUGUCCGUUUGAGCUCAAACUUGACAGUCAUGUUCGGUUUUACGUACUGAGCAAGAAUAUAUUUUAAGUUUCCAGUUUCGACCCCAUUUGGUCACCGAAAACUGUACCGAACUAUAAU